UCUUUGCCUGUUUCCAGUCAAGUACCUGAUAUGACCCAGGCAUCCUGCACUAAACCUGAUCUGUCUUCUGUUCAUUUUUGCACCAUGGUUUAAGGAUUCCAUUCUGAUAAAAACUACUGAAGAAGAGGACUUUUCAGCCUGCUACUCCUGGUUCAGUUUGAACCUCCCAGGCAUUGUGCACUCAAUCUGCUCUUCUACAGUCUACCUUUGUACCAGGAUAAAAGGCUUUCAUUCCUGGU